ACGGAAGCAGAAAUAGUUUCAAAAUGUCCGUUUAGUUUUUUGGACAUGGUGCAGUGUUUCGUUCCGGAGUGUCUGAGCGAGAUGUCUGCAGGUUUCUUCGGUUUCCUAAGGAUCCAAAAAUAAAGAAGCGAUGGAUUAAACUAAUUUGGCGUGCAGACAGGGAACCAAGCAUCCACUCACGGGUUUGCACCUGUCACUUUCGUGAUGG